rnacentral:rRNA from 1 species
UACAGAGGGUGCAAGCGUUAAUCGGAAUUACUGGGCGUAAACGCGCGUAGUGGUUGUUAGUUAGGUGAUGUGAAAUCCCCGGGCUCAACCUGGGAACUGCAUUCAAAACUGACAAGCUAGAGUAUGGUAGAGGGUGGUGGAAUUUCCUGUGUAGCGGUGAAAUGCGUAGAUAUAGGAAGGAACACCAGUGGCGAAGGCGACCACCUGGACUGAUACUGACACUGAGGUGCGAAAGCGUGGGGAGCAAACAGG